UGGGGAAUUUUGGACAAUGGGCGAAAGCCUGAUCCAGCAAUGCCGCGUGUGUGAAGAAGGCCUUCGGGUUGUAAAGCACUUUUGUCCGGAAAGAAAUCCUUGGCUCUAAUACAGUCGGGGGAUGACGGUACCGGAAGAAUAAGCACCGGCUAACUACGUGCCAGCAGCCGCGGUAAUACGUAGGGUGCAAGCGUUAAUCGGAAUUACUGGGCGUAAAGCGUGCGCAGGCGGUUUGCUAAGACCGAUGUGAAAUCCCCGGGCUCAACCUGGGAACUGCAUUGGUGACUGGCAGGCUAGAGUAUGGCAGAGGGGGGUAGAAUUCCACGUGUAGCAGUGAAAUGCGUAGAGAUGUGGAGGAAUACCGAUGGCGAAGGCAGCCCCCUGGGCCAAUACUGACGCUCAUGCACGAAAGCGUGGGGAGCAAACAGGAUUAGAUACCCUGGUAGUCCACGCCCUAAACGAUGUCAACUAGUUGUUGGGGAUUCAUUCCUUAGUAACGUAGCUAACGCGUGAAGUUGACCGCCUGGGGGAGUACGGUCGCAAGAUUAAAACUC
rnacentral:rRNA from 1 species